rnacentral:lncRNA from 10 species
GGUGGAAUGUCAUCAGUUAAGGCGGCGCAGGGCAUAUUCACUUCUUUUGUGAUUCUUCAGUUACUUCAGGCCAUCUGGGUGUAUAGUAAAGAAAGCAUGUUUGAGAUCUAGAACAGAAUAAUAGGUUGUAGAGGAAGGCAUUGAGGAUAGGAGAGUAUAUGGGUUUGGCACCACGGGGUGGAUAGGUGAAACAGUUUGGUUGAUAAGGCGCAGAUCCUGAACUAACUUGUAAGGCUUGUCUGGUUUUAGGACAGGUAAAAUAUGGGAAUUGUAAGGAGAGUUUAUAGGCUUUAAAAGGCCAUGCUGUAGCAGGCGAGUGAUAACAGGCUUUAAUGUUUUUAAAGCAUGCUGCGGGAU